CGUACGCACACUGGGACUCUGCGCACAAGGCUAGAGCCCAAGCUCUGGCAACAGUUCUCCAGGCACAUUGUCUGCGCACAAGCUCAAGCCCAAACCUCUACAACCUGGAAGAGCUCCAUUGCCAGUCGCAAGUCUGCCUACACAGACCCCGACUUUUUCAAUGUAUAGACUUCUAGGGCGUGGAAUUUUAGGCACGACGGUCAGUCCCGCAAGCUAACACUUGGCAAGCGACACUUCUUCUAUAGUCCCUAAUCAGUUGCCCCGGCUCCAGAGAGAGGCCACUAAGUGUCCAUUCUCCGAGAAGUUGGUUAGAUCUGAUUUUGGAAGCAAGAAAGAAAAAAAGGUUAUCUCCUCGAGACCACGGGAGAGAAAGAUGAGAAGCGCUAAGGGUUUUUGAAUCCGAGAGUGAAUGCCUCUUAGGGGAAUAUCCUUAACCAAGGAGCGCAUCUUUAGGUAAGUAAUGUUGUUUUCUUAUUCAAGAUGGCAGCAACUCCAAUAGCAACCAUAAGGCAAAUUCCAAAG